rfam:Felis catus isolate Cinnamon breed Abyssinian chromosome C1, whole genome shotgun sequence.
GCCUGGGUGGCUCAGCCGGUUGAGCAUCCGACUUCAACUCAGGUCAUGAUCUCGCGGUCCGUGAGUUCGAGCCCCGCGUCGGGCU